rnacentral:lncRNA from 1 species
AUUUUUUGCCCUUGGUGGCUCCAAACAACGAUUCUUGAACUCGCAUGCCAGCUAGGAGUUUUUGAGGGGCACAAAUAGGGACAUCGGCCGGGAAAAUGUAGAAUUUUGCAUUGAUUGCAUGCGUCACGCACACAGCGUUCUGCGAAAACUAGAAUGACGUGCAAAAGAACUCUAUCAUAAAUGAAGGCCCCGUGGAUGGAAAUCGGCAUUGGGUCCGAAGAUCGAACCAUGGGUCCUUUAGUCAGAGUGCUUUUUGCUGUGUCUCUCACCGUGCUCAUUGCACAGGGUGCUAACAGUCAGAUUCACUAUGGAGCAGAUGGAGAGCCGGACAAAACCGAGGACGCAUCAACUGCGUUAACGACUGUUGCUGAGGAUAGUUUUUCGCAGAAUGCGCAUGGUAACGCCACUGCUGCUCCUGAACUAUAUUAUCCCUCAGAACUUCAAGCCAUCGAUGACACCACAAAAGAAAUCGUCACUGAAAUGGAGCAGCGUGUGUCGAAGGCUAAGGAAUACGUUCAGCAGGUUAAUCAGUGGAUCGGAUGGGCUUACAGUGUUGGGACAGUGAAAAAAGCUGUCAAGAGGAGUUUGAAAAUGGGAAGGAGAGACAUUGCCCAGGCCCGAUUCCAAGUGAGGAACAUCCUCUGCGAUCGCUACGAUAAUUUCAAGAUGAUCACUGACAGUUCAACACCAGCGGACCCCAAACUUGUCGAAGCUGUGAAAACUCUUGAAUCACCAGAGGCUCCUUUGAAUCCUGUCUUCACUGGAGUAAGUCAGAAGCAGAGACGAGAGACUUUCCACCGGCCUCUCGGCGACAGGUGGAAGCUUUCACUUUCGGAGAUUCAACACUUCCGUAUGAUGAACAAUUAUAAAAUAAAGGAGCAACAGUCAUCAACUUACUUGGUGGAUGAUGAGCUUCGGAUGCCGUCAUGAGCCAAACAAGUUUCCCAAACUUCAGUUUGUUUGUAAAACGCAAUUCUUAACAAGUUGUUAACCAUCCAUUUAGUAGGUAUGCCAACAGUUAAGAGUUGAAGUCUCGAAAGUAAAAGCUUCCACCAUUGCCAAGAUACCAGUGGAGGAUAUCUUGUCCCUGGUCAGAAAUUAAGAACAUAUCCUUGGGAGGGGGGGGGGGAGGGGGCGUUAAGAGUUCCGCAGGGGUCGGGCUGCGUGGCAGCCAGGGGGAGAUCCACGAGGAUCCACUUUGCGACAGUAAAAAUCCUGGGGCAUAAAGAUAACUGAAAAAUUGUUGAUGGCGGCGUCUAAUAGAGUUCCACUAUAAUCAUUCGGACAAGAAAUAUGGAGAUUUGCUUGAAGAGUUGAGGAUGACUCUUUAAAGCUUAACACUAGACGAGGGGCUUGAAGGACAAGGCGCAUAACUGCAGUUUUUGCCAUUUCGAGAGAUAAGUGUUUGAAGUUUCGAAAUUACAUGGAUCCUUAUAGCGGAAAUAAAGUUCAAAGUGACUUUUCGAUGCUUAAAAAUGGGAAUUUGGAGGCGAAUUUUUCACAGAAUAUGCAUUAAGACUAGUUUCACUUGAAACCAUUAAUAUCUCAAUUUCCCCAAAAACUGCACUUAUAAGCCUUGCCUUCCAAACCCCUCGAAUAAGUUUCAUUUCGUAAUUGAGGGGCUUGGAUGUUUAAAAAAGCGCUUAUAGAUCAAGUUUCUACUUUCAAAAAGCACGCUUCGACAUGUUUAAAAUUGCAUGUAGGAACUGUGAGGUUUUAAUUCAUUUACUCGUAUUUAUUCAUAUGUUACGGUACUUGUGACAAAGGAAAUAGGAGCCUUGGUGAAAGGAGGAAAAUAUUUUAGGAAAUCGGCUUCUAUCAAAUAAUCACAAUUUGAGAUUUCGACUAAAGACACCUCACUCCUCAGUUGUUAGGUAAUAUUUCAGAGUAUAAGAUGCGGGCUACUUACUCAUACUUAUAUAAGUUAUUUAGUAAGUUACCACUACUAAUACUUAUCAUGAGCGUAAAUAUAAACAAUUUGUCUGAGGGGGAGGCUGGUAAUGAGAGUCAUCUGGCAAGACGCAAAUCAUCACAAUGGAAUUGGCCUCCUAGGACCUGGGGUGUAGUGGUUUUAACGCAGGAUUCAUAACCAGGAGACCCCGGGUUCGAUUCCCGGCUAGGCGACCCGAGUUUGAUGGUCUCAAACAAAGGUUGUCUCGGACUGGUUGAACAGUAAGGACCGAGGGCGGUGGGCGGGUGGGGCUCUACCUAGGAUCACUACUUACGUAGUAUUUGAAGAAGUGAAAAAAAAAAAAAUUCUGGAAGAGGGCCGCUAGCCUUCAAGGGUAGCCCCCUAAACCACCCAGUUACGCUCAUGAUUCUAACACCAAUAUUAAAACUUUUUUAUAGCUGAAAGAACACAACAAACGUCUCCUCCGUCGCCAAAAGAGUCAGGAGCCACAUACCCUGAACGAAUGGAAGGAAUACUUCAUGAAAGUGAGCAAAGAAUCGAUGGACUCCUACACCGAGGAAAUGACUCAAAUCGAGAGGUCGGCACAGUCAUCCUUGAACACCCUGUACAACGCCCUGGUCAUCUGGCAAGACGCGAACAGGGAUUUGAAAGGCGGUCAAGAGAAACCUACUAACGUCGAAGAAAAAUUGGCUCUCAUUCGUCCGGCGAUGAAACUUGGGGUGCAACUCGGCUGCGUCCCAUCGCAACAAUCCCCAAAAAGUCGAUGGAAUGCCUAACUUACAGGGGUGCGGUUAUCUCUAGUAUUUGCCUCUCGGUCAGAGCCUAUGUAUGUUCCGGUUUUUGUGAAUCUCAUUUCUUAGUGUGACGUAAAACAAUUAAAAAAAUGUAAUAAACAGUAUUUUUCUUUUUUACAUUUGUAAGUCUUUUAUGUAAUUUGCAAACUCUCGUAUAGCUUGGCUGAAUGUAUGGUCAGGAAUUCUAAAGUGGCAGAGGUGCUGUUAUCUCUGAAUGAUAUUUUCGACAGGAGCCUUGAAUGUUCCAUUUUUUGUGUGAAUCUCAUCAUUUUGUGUGAAUUAAAAAACUAAGCAAAAUGUCAUUUACAG